rnacentral:rRNA from 1 species
CCUACGGGCGGCUGCAGUAAGGAAUAUUGGUCAAUGGACGAAAGUCUGAACCAGCCAUCCCGCGUGCAGGAUGAAGGUCCUAUGGAUUGUAAACUGCUUUUAGCAGAGACGAAGACCCAUCAUUUAUGAUGGAGUGACGGUAUCUGCGGAAUAAGCACCGGCUAACUCCGUGCCAGCAGCCGCGGUAAUACGGAGGGUGCAAGCGUUAUCCGGAAUCACUGGGUUUAAAGGGUGCGUAGGCGGAGAAUUAAGUCAGUGGUGAAAUCCUGUCGCUUAACGAUAGAACUGCCAUUGAUACUGAUUUUCUUGAAUUGGGUUGAGGUUAGCGGAAUGUGACAUGUAGCGGUGAAAUGCAUAGAUAUGUCAUGGAACACCAAUUGCGAAGGCAGCUAACUGGGCCUUGAUUGACGCUGAGGCACGAAAGCGUGGGUAGCGAACAGGCUUAGAUACCCCGGUAGUC